UCCUACGGGGGGCAGCAGUGGGGAAUAUUGGGCAAUGGGCGCAAGCCUGACCCAGCAACGCCGCGUGAAGGAAGAAGGCUUUCGGGUUGUAAACUUCUUUUAUUGAGGACGAAACAAAUGACGGUACUCAAUGAAUAAGCCACGGCUAACUACGUGCCAGUAGCCGCGGUAAUACGUAGGUGGCAAGCGUUAUCCGGAUUUACUGGGUGUAAAGGGCGUGUAGGCGGGAGAGCAAGUCAGACGUGAAAUUCCAGGGCUCAACCCUGGAACUGCGUUUGAAACUGUUCUUCUUGAGUGAUUGAAAG
rnacentral:rRNA from 1 species